GGGCCCUUAGCUUAGUCUGGUUUAAAGCCCCCGGCUCAUAUCAGUUGUCUGUCACUUUGUGUGGCGGGACUGUGAGACACCGGGUGAGCGGUGGUUCAAAUCCGCCAGGGCCCA
rnacentral:tRNA from 1 species